rnacentral:rRNA from 1 species
GAUGAACGCUAGCAACAGGCUUAACACAUGCAAGUCGAGGGACCGGCGCACGGGGGAGUAACACGUAUCCAACCUGCUCCUUACUCGGGGAUAGCCUUUCGAAAGAAAGAUUAAUACCCGAUAUAAAGGAUGGGGAUGCGUACCAUUAGGUUGUUAGUGAGGUAACAGCCCACCAAGCGUUCGAUGGGUAGGUGUUCUGAGAGGAAGGUCACCCACAUCAGAACUAAGACACGGUCCCAAAUCCUACGGGAGGCAGCAGUGAGGCAUAUUGGUAAAUGUGCGGUAGCCUGAACCUGCCAAGUAGCGUUAAGGAUGAAGGCUUCUGGGUCGUAAACUUCUUUUAUAUAAUAAUAUGUAUUAUAUGAAUAAGGAUCGGCUAACUCCGUGCCAGCAGCCGCGGUAAUAC